AGAGUUUGAUCCUGGCUCAGGAUGAACGCUAGCGGCAGGCUUAAUACAUGCAAGUCGAGGGGCAGCAUGAAGUAGCAAUACUUUGAUGGCGACCGGCAAACGGGUGCGGAACACGUACACAACCUUCCUUUUAGUGGGGAAUAGCCCAGAGAAAUUUGGAUUAAUACCCCGUAACAUAACGAUGUGGCAUCACAUUGUUAUUAUAGCUUCGGCGCUAGAUGAUGGGUGUGCGUAUGAUUAGAUAGUUGGCGAGGUAACGGCUCACCAAGUCUACGAUCAUUAGCUGAUGUGAGAGCAUGAUCAGCCACACGGGCACUGAGACACGGGCCCGACUCCUACGGGAGGCAGCAGUAAGGAAUAUUGGUCAAUGGACGCAAGUCUGAACCAGCUAUGCCGCGUGAAGGAUUAAGGUCCUCUGGAUUGUAAACUUCUUUUAUAUGGGACGAAAAAAGGUCUUUCUAGAUCACUUGACGGUACCAUAUGAAUAAGCACCGGCUAACUCCGUGCCAGCAGCCGCGGUAAUACGGAGGGUGCAAGCGUUAUCCGGAUUCACUGGGUUUAAAGGGUGCGUAGGCGGGCAGGUAAGUCAGUGGUGAAAUCCUGGAGCUCAACUCCAGAACUGCCAUUGAUACUAUCUGUCUUGAAUAUUGUGGAGGUAAGCGGAAUAUGUCAUGUAGCGGUGAAAUGCUUAGAUAUGACAUAGAACACCCAUUGCGAAGGCAGCUUACUACGCAUAUAUUGACGCUGAGGCACGAAAGCGUGGGGAUCAAACAGGAUUAGAUACCCUGGUAGUCCACGCCCUAAACGAUGAAUACUCGAUGUUAGCGAUAAACAGUUAGCGUCUAAGCGAAAGCGUUAAGUGUUCCACCUGGGGAGUACGCCCGCAAGGGUGAAACUCAAAGGAAUUGACGGGGGCCCGCACAAGCGGAGGAGCAUGUGGUUUAA
rnacentral:rRNA from 1 species